rnacentral:lncRNA from 1 species
GGUCAGCCCAAGGCUUUAGUAGAAGACACUUGUCCAAGGUGCCACACAGUAGGACUGAACCCAGAAUCAUGUGGUUGAGAAGCAAGCUUCUUACCACACAGCUACCUUCAAGAAAGAACACCAACAGUACCAACUUCCUUGGUCUUGGAGGAACUGCAGAAGGCAAUGGAUACAAAACAUCCUUCCAGACUAAUCUAAGCCUCUUCUCCUUAUCUCCUCAAAGACAUACAGCAUCUCGAAAGAGUCCAGAAGCUGGCUACCCACAUGGUUCAUGGUCUCAAGAAUUUGUCUUAUGAAGAAAGGCUGAAGACACUCGACCUUUAUUCUCUAGAAAAACGCCGCCGCCGUGGUGAUCUCAUUCUCGCUCACAACCUCUCGAAAGAGCUGUUCUUCACUCAUGCUCCAGAGCGUCAGCUGCGGGGUCAUUCCGAAAAGCUCUUUCUGCGACGAUUUCAUCUCAAUCGAAGGAGAGGGGCUUUCUCCAUCCAGGUUGCAGAUCCGUGGAACAAGCUGCCAGAUGAGAUGGUGAAGAUGCCGACGACCGCUUUGUUCAAAGUCUCCCUUGUCCUCAAGUAACCUGAACUCUUUACAUGAACACCACCCUGUACAUAACUCCAUGUCCCCCUACAUGGCCUUGCUUUUUGCUUUUUGAGCCAAAAAAUUAACUAACUAACUAACUAACAUAACUGAAAAUUAUUUUUAAAAAAUCAAAAAAUGCUUACCUGUUAUUUAACUGUUUUUGUUGAGGGGUUUGGGUAACAACUUUUUAGCUUUUAUCGCAUAUCUGUUUCAUACAUUGGAUUGUAACAAUGUUAUGUCAUUGCCUUAAAGUAUUUAGCCAAACAAAUUGAUUUUCAAAACUGAAUUUUUAAGGCUGGUAUUCAUUCUGUCAGUUUCUUAUGAUGAACUGCUUGGUGACAGUGAAACAAACAAAAUAACAGCUGUGUGAAUGGGACAAACACAACUACACACACACACACACACAUGCACACACAUAUACACGUACACACAUACACAUAAAUACACACACACACUCACACAUGCAUGCACACACACAGAGAGGCUUCUGCACAGUUUCUGCCUACCAAGUUCAUUCACAGAGAAAACACUUGCACAACGAACUGCAAAGUGGAACUGAACCCUGAAACCAUGUGAUACCAAAAAGUGCUUCUUAACCAUAUAGCUAUGCCCAAGCCAGAUGAUAUCGAUAAUAUUCUUUCAAUUCCAAAAGUAUUAAACAUGGUCAGUUCCAAAAGAUCCUGUAACCUUGGUAAUUCUCUGGAUUCAUUACUUGAUAUAUAUUUUCCAUUCUUUCUCUCUAAAGGAAGGGUUCUUUAUUGGUCGGCGUAUAAGGAAACAAACCAAUAUAGUUUGACAUUAUAUCUGUGCUUCAUGAUAGCUGUCUAUGGUUUCUUUUAAUUAGAACUUAAUUGUAUUAAUUGUAAUACAUUCUGCCUGGUAGGCAAAUACCUAGUUCCUAUUAGAAAUUAAUAUGACUUUAGUUGUUAUUAUAUUCAAAAUAAUGAAGUAGUAAUACUUAAAUGAAAAAAAAAUAAUAAUAAUUAUAAAAUGAUAAAAUUUCAAUAAAAAUACAGACUUCUUGAAGUAGAGUGUUUUUAACUCAUUAAAUUAAUAUUUUAGCAAAUCACCAGAGGGCAGAAAGUAAUGUGCUGAAGUAAAAUCUGUACACUUUAACCAGCUUCAUUUGACAGACAUUUUCAAUUUCUGCUUCUUCAAGUAGUCUGUGAUCAAUUUGAAAUUAGAAACAAGAGGAGAAAGAAAAAAAAUUUGAUCAGAUAUUCGUUAAGCAGAAAAAUUUUAAACUUUUUUAAUUUGCUUUUCUCAUUCUUUUAAUUUCAAUUUACAUAUAUAUAUAUAUAUAUAUAUAUAUAUAUAUAUAUAUAUAUAUAUAUAUAUAUAUAUAUAUAUAUAUAUAUAUAUAUAUAUAUAUAUAUAUAUAUAUAUAUAUAUAUAUAUAUAUAUAUAUAUAUAUAUACAUACAUAUAUAUAUAUAUAUAUAUAUAUAUAUAUACACACACAUACAUUCAUGUAUAUACAUAUAUAAAUAUAUAUAUGUAUAUAUGUGUAUAUGUGUAUGUAUAUAUAUAUGCAUAUGUGUAUAUAUGUAUAUUAUAUAUAUAUAUAUGUAUAUGUGUAAAUAUAUGUGUAUAUAUAUAUAUGUAAAUAUAUAUAUAUAUAUAUAUAUAUAUGCAUAUACAUGUAUAUAUACUCACACACAUAUAUGUAUGUAUAUAUAUUUAUAUAUACAUCAAUGCAUCUAUAUAUGUGUAUAUGUAUGUAUGUAUGUAUGUAUGUAUGUAUGUAUGUAUGUAUGUAUGUAUGUAUGUAUGUAUGUAGGUAGGUAUGAAAUAUAUAUAUAUAUAUAUUGCUUUUUCCUAAUUGUGACAUGCAACUCAGCUUUUCCUCAUUUACCUAAAAAUCUUAGGAAAAGGGAAAAAAAUAUACUUCAAUGUUCAGAAUCAUUUAAAUUUAUUUACUUAGUGAUUUAUUUAUUCUUCACAUAUACCACAUUAUACAGGUUUUGUUGCAAUAACUUGUUUGAAUAAUUUAGGGAAUCAAUGAUAUUUAUUCACAAAUAAUGAAUCUAACCAAUCAAUAUUUAAUUUAUCUCACACAGUCAUUGGAUAAUUAGAGUUUAUCGCAUGACUUCCAUAAGCAAAGGUAUUCGUUGGUUAGGAUAUAAACUUUAUUGACUUUAGGGAGCAGAGGAUACAAGAGUUGUGGUAUCAUGCUGCUUUUUUAUCAUUUGCUCCUUAUCAAUAUUCGUAAUGUAAGCAAUCUGAAAGAAGCUGCAACUGGGAAUCAAAACAGUUCUCAGUGUGCUGACAUUCCACAAUCCAGAGUUCUUCAAAUAAUGACUAACCUAUAUAAAUAAGUAUUUUGCCCUGGUAACAUUGGGCAAAAUGACCCCAAAAUGUUUUAUGAAUCGUAUGUUAUAAAAUGUCAUUUAUAUGAAACCCAUUAGAAAGUAGAACAGAACAUAGGCGUAGGAGUGGCUGUGUGGUAAGUAGCUUGCUUACUAACCACAUGGUUCCGGGUUCAAUCCCACUGUGUGGCACCUUGGGCAAGUGUCUUCUACUAUAGCCUCGGGCUGGCCAAAGCCUUGUGAGUGGAUUUGGUAGAUGGAAACUGAAAGAAGCCAUCCUAUAUAUGUAUAUAUAUAUGUAUGUGUGUAUGUGUGUAUGUGUUUGUGUGUCUAUGUUUGUUUCCCCAACAUCGCUUGACAUCUGAUGCUGGUGUGUUUACAUCCCCGUAACUCAGCAGUUACCAAGAGAGACCAAUAGAAUAAGUACUAGGCUUACAAAGAAUAUUAUCAAUUUCCUGGGGUCGAUUUGCUCGACUAAAGGCUGUGCUCCAGCAUGGCCACAGUCAAAUGACUGAAACAAGUAAAAGAGUAAUUGUAAAAUCAAUAACUGGAUGAAGUUGCCAUGUCACAUCAUCUGCAUUGAAAAAUAACAGUAUGCCUUAUUUUCAAGUAUGCAAAAUUAACAUAGUAUAUCGAGUAAACAUGUAGUGUAAACAUUCAAACAUCAUCAAUAUCUUUUCAAAUCUUGCUCCAUUCCAUAUAAAAUUUUUUGCACCUCCAAAGUUGUCUCAGUGUAUAAGUCAACUUAACUUUUUUUUCGGCAAUAAAUUUUGCCCUAAAAUAUUUGGCCUGUAUGCUGGAAAAUGCAGUAUUCUAUGUAGUGAGGUAAAAAAUAUAUCAUUAAUUAACAGUACUUAUGUAGUGAAGAGAAGAAAACAUUAGCUAAAUUACGAAUAUUAUUUCAAUCUGAUUGUAGAAAAUAUGGGCAAUAACCUGGGACAUGUUUCAGUCUUACUAGACCUCCUUAGCAAAGCAUUGGCUCCUUCAUACAUGCUAGGUUAAUGGUGAGUGAAUCACUAUAUUGAUGAAAAACGAUGUACAUGUAUAAGUGUCAGAAAUUAGAAUAAAUCACUGGAGAAAAUUGCUAAAGGAUGUGAUUUGCAGAAGAGAGUGAAGGAUGCAGUAAUAUAGAAAUAUCAUCUCAAUGCAAAUGCACAGACUCACACACUAUGUAUAUGUAUGCAGUGUUUCCAAGAAAUCUAAUGCUCGUAGCUUAGUUUUUCCUUGGGGCUGGCCGGAUUGGAGCGAUCUCAAGAUUAAUCAGCCGAAACUGCUAGGAUGAUCCGGUUCUUGACUGAAGAUUGAAGGCUUCGAAUAUCCCGUCCGUGGUUUUUGUAUUGUCUUUUAAAUGUUUUACGUUCUUGUCCCAGUUUGUAUUUUUCUACAUAUAAUAUAUAUAUAUAUAUAUAUAUAUAUAUAUAUAUAUACACACAUAUGUUCUUUUAUUGUUUUACUUGUUUCAUCAUUUGACUGUGAACAAAUCGACCUAUAUACACACACACUGGCAUGGCUGUUUGGUUGAGAUGCUUGUAUUCUAUGUGGUCUCUGGUUCAGUCCCAUUGUGUGACAUCUUGGGCAAAGGUUUUCUAUCAUAGCCCAGGACUGACUGAAGAUUUGUGAGUGUAUUUGGUAAAAGAAACUGUCAGAUAUAAAUACAUAUGUAUAAACUAUGUUUAAACUAUAGGGUUUACUGAGAGAGAGGGGGGGGAGAGAUUUAGCUGUUAUUUCUAGCAGUUCCUCAUUGCAUACAAGCUAGAUUACUGAUAGGCUUCACAGUAGUCAAAACCUUCCCUCCAAAUUUGGUUAGCAGUUAAAUAUUCUUUGAUCAAAGAUGUUGGUAUUAUCCCCCAUACUUACUGAAGAUAAAAAAUACAAAAACACCUGAGGAAUUUAUAACAAACAAGAGUAGGACUAAGAUAGAUGGCUUAUGUCGGUACCAAUCUACUCAAAAUAGUGCCUAAAAUUUAGGCUUUUGAAUAUCAGGGAACUCUCUCUCUCUUUUUACUCUUUUACUUGUUUCAGUCAUUUGACUGCGGCCAUGCUGGAGCACCGCCUUAAAUCAAGCAUAUCAACCCCGGGACUUAUUCUUUGUAAGCCCAGUACUUAUUCUAUUGGUCUCUUUUGCCGAACCGCUAAGUGACGGGGACAUAAACACACCAGCAUCGGUUGUCAAGCAAUGCUAGGGGGACAAACACAGACACACAAACAAACGCACACACACACAUAUAUAUAUACAUAUAUACGACGGGCUUCUUUCAGUUUCUGUCUACCAAAUCCACUCAGAAGCCUUUGGUCGGCCCGAGGCUAUAGUAGAAGACACUUGCCCAAGGUGCCACACAGUGGGACUGAACCCGGAACCAUGUGGUUCGUAAGCAAGCUACUUACCACACAGCCACUCCUGCACCUAAGAUUUUAUUAUAAACAAUGAGGGCUUUUGACACAUUCAAUGUAACCAUGAUUAUACUAUCCAAUACAGUCGUUGACCAUACUUGACCUCCAAAGCAGUGAAGGGUAAUAUAAUGCUGGUUGCUUCUCCAUUUCUGGUGAUAUUAUGUAUUGUUAAAUAAAGACUGGAAUGUAAUUCUAGACAUUGUUGAAGCCAGUGUACACAACAGAAUGGAUAUAUUCUUGAAUUUCUUCUGCUACUCUCCUUGAUAAAGAGAUUCUAACUAAAUUUUCCUAAGAACCAGCAUAUACUUUGUCUAAUAAGGUGGAAAAUACAGAUUUUAUUUAGAUAGAAUGUUCUUUAAGCCACCAGACUGCAAAUUAGCCUGAUGCCCACAGAUAUACUGAUUAGGAAAGUCAGAUUAGACCAAAGCUAUAAAAGACAGCAUGGGAAUUGGAAAUUAAAUGUCAGUUUUGACACGAAAGUGUUUCAAGUUCAAGUGAUAACUCAUAUUAAGAAAGAUUUGAUGAAGAGAAUUCUGCAUCAAAUUCAAAUUUUAUUGGUUUUUAUUUUGAUGUUUUUGUUUUUUGCCAAUACUUACCUUUAUUAGUUUUCUUGAAUUCUACUAGUUUCUUCAUUUCUUUUGUUUUAAAUCCUUAAUAAUCAUUGGUGAUGGGUACUUAUCAAAGUAUUAAGAGACUAGCUUCGACCUUUGGGAAGGUAUUUAAAGCAGAGAAAAGUACAGGAAAGAGUUUUGAUAGUGAAUUAAGAAAAGUGUUUUAACUUAGAAGUGGAUACAACUGAAAUGUAAUUAGUAACAACUGUGUUAUACUGAGUAUGAAUGUUUAGAGAAUUAGGGUUGAUAAAAUGAAGUCCGCGCCAUGCUCUCUGCAAGAGAAAUAGAGGAAUAUAUACCUGUCAAUGUACUCAUGAGAUUUCUGAGGAACUGCAUACUCUUUUACUCUUUUACUUGUUUGAGUCAUUUGACUGCGGCCAUGCUGGAGCACCGCCUUUAGUUGAGCAAAUCGACCCUGGGACUUAUUCUUUGUAAGCUAGUACUUAUUCUAUCGGUCUCUCUUGCCGAACCGCUAAGUGACAGGGACGUAAACACACCAGCAUCGGUUGUCAAGCAAUGCUAGGGGGACAAACACACACAUACAUACAUAUAUACGACAGGCUUCUUUCAGUUUCCGUGUAUCAAAUCCAUUCACAAGGCUUUGGUCGGCCCGGGGCUAUAGCAGAAGACACUUGCCCAAGAUGCCAUGCAGUGGGACUGAACCCGGAAUCAUGUGGUUGGUUAGCAAGCUACUUACCACACAGCCACUCCUGCGCCUAUAACAGCCACUCCUGCGCCUAUUCUAAGUUUUAAAAAAUUCCAUUUAAAUUAUUGAAUAUUUCCAAAAUUACUCCAUGAACUGGAAUCUAACACCAAGAGAAGUAGAAAUUCCUGUUAAAUUCUGGAGUGUUUUCCAAAUCACUUCAGAGAGCAGAAUCUGGUUCUACCAAGUCUAGAAAUGCUACUAAAGCCCUUUUGCCACAACAUGCAAACACAUGGUGUUGUGUGAUAGAAAUAUUCUAUGGCUUCUGUGAUAAGAAAAAGAAGUAAAAAAAUUAAUUUUCUGAUUUUGAGGAUUUCCUAUAUAAAGUCUGAAAAAUGGGUAACAUACCAUUAUCAAAUUCAAUGACUGGCAUCCGUGCCAGAGGAGUGCUAAGAGCACCAUCUGAGCAUGAUCGUUGCUAGAGCAGCUGACUGGCUUCCAUGCUUGUGGCACAUAAAAAGCACCAUUCAAGCGUGAUCAUUACCAGCAUUGCCUUACUGGUACUUGUGCUGGUGGUACGUGAAAAAACAUUCAAGCAUGGUUGUUGCCAGUGCCACUGGACUAGCUCCUGUGCAGGUGACACAUAAAAAACACCAUUUGAGCAUGACCAUUGCCAGUACCACCUGACUGGCCCUCAUGCCGGUGGCACGUAAAAGAACCCACUACACUCUCGGAGUGGUUGGCAUUAGGAAAGGCAUCCAGCUGUAGAAACCCCACCAGAUCAGCUUGGAGCCUGGUGCAGCCAUCUGGUUCACCAGUCCUCGGUCAAAUCGUCAAACCCAUGCUAGCAUGGAAAGGGGACGUUAAAUGAUGAUGAUGAUGAUGAUGAGGAUGAUGACCAUUAUUUUCAAGAUCCACAGCUAGACUGCUGGAAAGAUGAUGGAACUUUUACAUAAUUACCUGAAGUUUUGACAGUGGAGAACAGAUAUUUUUUACCCCUCUAGUAACUACCUGGGUUUUGAUUUUAGUUUCUAGUAAUUCAAUGAUUGUUGUCACUAUAAACCAGUGUUUCUCAACUAAUUUUUGAUUAUGGACUAUUUUGAUCCCUAUUUUACUCUAUUGGAUCUCUGUAACCAUUCUAUGUCUACAAAAAAAUACUACUGUAUUUCUAUAAUUAAAUAUUAUCAGGAAUUAUAUUAAAAAAAAAAAAUUUUAUAUUUUGUGUAUAAGCAAUUUAUUGCUGAUAAAUUUUAAUGACAAAACCUUAUAUAGACUCCAAAGGGCAAUAUAGACCCCAGAUGAGAAACCACUGCUAUAGACUCUCUGAAUGACAUACCAAACAAAAAUAUUACCUAGAAAGUUAAAGAAGUGAUUUUAAAUUCCCAAAUACAGGAUAAGGCUAACAAUAUAGCCUGAACAGGAUAAGCUACCCCUAUUUUGCAGAAAGUGGAGGCGCAAUGGCCCAGUGGUUAGGGCAGCGGACUCGUGGUCAUAAGAUCGCGGUUUCGAUUCCCAGACCAGGCGUUGUGAGUGUUUAUUGAGCGAAAACACCUAAAAGCUCCACGAGGCUCCGGCAGGGGAUGGUGGUGAUCUCUGCUGUACUCUUUCACCACAACUUUCUCUCACUCUUACUUCCUGUUUCUGUUGUACCUGUAUUUCAAGGGGCCGGCCUUGUCACUCUCUGUGUCACGCUGAAUAUCCCCGAGAACUACGUUAAGGGUGCACGUGUCUGUGGAGUGCUCAGCCACUUACACGUUAAUUUCAUGAGCAGGCUGUUCCGUUGAUUCGGAUCAACCAGAACCCUCAUCAUCGUAACCGACGGAGUGCUAAGAAGAAGAUUUUGCAGAAAAAAGUGUUGGCAGCCGGCUAUUACCUAGAAUUUAUUUUUUAGUAGUGCAGCCCACCUGAGUACGAGACAUAUAUUAUGUGACCCCCUUCUCGAAAAAAGGUUGUCCAUGUCUGCUGUAGAUAGCUUUACAUGCAAUUCCUUAAAUUAAUUUAUCAAUUCAAAGUGACUUUCAAAUGUUAGAGGUCUUGAUUGUUUGGCUAAAUUCGCUGAUAGUUAGUCUGGACCAAACCUGUGCUAUUAUUAGUAUUUUCUUUGCCUUCUGCCUUUAUCUAUUACGCUUCUUUAUCAUGUAAUAUAUUUUGGCUCUACUUGUCUUCCCAAUACGAUUGCUUUCCAUUGUUGUCAGUGAAUGUACCACCAUGUAUUUUUUAUCAUUUUUUUUCAUUACUUUUUAAUUUUUUUUUUCAUUAUUUUUAUUGCUGAUACGUAUAAUUCUUUACUAAUUGUUUCCAAUACUUAUUCUGUUGAAAGAAGCAGACACGGUUUUUCAAAGUGUUUUAUUUGCUGUGUCUUUUGUUAAGUCUAGGUGUUUCGCUUUUAUUUCUUUUUCUCUCAUAUUAGACACCUCGUUUUUCUGUUUCUCUUCCUAAUGAUACAUCUUUACUCUUUUUGUCACUUCCAUAGUAUAUAUUUUCUUUCCAUUGUUUGCUAAUUAUCAUCAUCAUCAUCAGCAUCAUCAUCAUCAUCAUCAUCAGCAUCAGCAGCAACAGCAUCAUCAUCAGCAUCAUCAUCAUCAUCAUCAUCAUCAUCAGCAGCAGCAGCAGCAGCAGCAGCAACAGUAGUAGUAGUAGUAGUAGUAGCCUCAGCAGUAGCAGCAACCAUAGCAGCAGCAGCAUCAUCAUCAUUAUCAUCAUCAGCUGCAGCAGCAGCAACAGUAGUAGUAGUAGUAGUAGUAGUAAUAGUAGUAGUAGUAGUAGUAGUAGUAGUAGUAGUAGUAGUAGUAGUAGUAGUAGUAGCAGCCUCAGCAGUAGCAGCAACCAUAGCAGCAGCAGCAGCAUCAUUAUCAUCAUCAGCUGCAGCAACAGCAGCAGCAGCAGCAGCAGUAGUAGUAGUAGUAGUGUUUUAUUUGGGGCAUCAGCAGCAGCAACAGUAGUAGUAGUAGUAGUAGUAGUAGCCUCAGCAGUAGCAGCAACCAUAGCAGCAGCAGCAGCAUCAUCAUUAUCAUCAUCAGCUGCAGAACCAGCAACAGUAGUAGUAGUAGUAGUAGUAGUAGUAGUAGUAGUAGUAGUAGUAGUAGUAGUAGUGUUUUAUUUGGGGCAUCGAAGAAUAAGUGACUUUAUUUAGUGUCAAAUCCAAUUUUCCUUCCAAAUUGCUGUGGCCAAAAUGUAAAUUAGGUUAUUUAGAGUAAUUGAUGUUCUAGAUUGCUUCUAUGAAGCAAAGAAUUUCUUGGAGGCCCUGUUUGUAUUUGGAUAUCAUUUCCUGCUUUUAUUCAUAUCUCUCUAAUCUGUCCCAUAUAUUUACGUUGAAUGAGUUUUGUUGUGGUCAAUUCUGCUGUUUUUGGCUCUAUUUCUGUUAAAUAUUCCACAGAGUUGAUUUUUCUUAUUCUGUUAGGAUGUCAAGACUGUAUUUUGCGUAGUGGUUGGAGGAUAUUCAAACAUUUGUUAUUGUUGUUUUUGUUUUUGUUAUUAGUGUUUAACCACAGGUCAUUUUGCAAAAGUAUUCCAGCUUUGAUAAUAGCCUUCUUUUAAGAAUAUCGAGGACUAUGUUAGCCAAUAUUUUCCCCUGUCUAACAUGGCUAGCUGUGUGGAGGUGCAAUGGCCCAGUAGUUAGGGCAGCGGACUCGUGGUCGUAGGAUCACUUUUUCCCAGCAGGUCGAGUAGCCAAAUAGAGGCUCCUUCACUGGUUUGAUUCCCACUGCACUUUUCACCACAACUUGCUGUUUAACCUUACUUCCUGUUUCUGUUGUACUGUAUUUCAAAGGGCCGGCCUUGUCACUCUCUGUGUCACGCUGAAUAUCCCCAAGAACUACGUUAAGGGUACACGUGUCUGUGGAGUGCUCAGCCACUUACACGUUAAUUUCACAAGCAGGCUGUUCCGUUGAUCGGAUCAACUGGAACCCUCGUCAUCAUAACCGAUGGAGUGCUUCCAUCCCAUCGCUGGCUGUGAAGAAACCUAUUCACUCUUUCCAGCAGGUCGAGUAGCCAAAUAGAGGCUCCUUCACUGGUUUGAUUCACCACUGCUUUUUAUUAUUGCUGUUUAAAGCCUUAUGUUAAUCCUAUUCAAGAAAACCCAUGAGCAAACUGAUUCCAGCCAUGACCAUCCAAUAAUGUUCUGUUGGAAUAAAUUCUUCUAAUAUCCCUUUCCCUUAUUUAGAAUGGUACGGUGUGAUCUAAAUGCUAUUUGGCUGCUGUUUGCAGUACAUCAAUCUUAUGUGUCUCUUCUAUGGUGCUUGCAACUGAUUUGUAUCGCAUGGUCAUCUAAUCUGGUAUGUUUUCAAUGCUUCUGGAUAUUCUUCUUUGGCGCAUUUUUUUUCCCUUUUUUUUUUUUAUCUCCAUGUAAUUUUCAUUUUAUUUCGAUGGAAAAUAACAGUUGGAAAUGGGUUUUCUGAAGGAGCGGGUGGGUGGGUGGGGGGUGAUGAUUAACCACGAGAAAGGACAUCGAUUCUGACAUUUGUGUUACAUAUGCUUCAUAGCGUGGUCACAUUAAUCUCACACUAUGACAUUUCUCAUAAACCCUGGAACAGCAGGUAUUUGAUUCCAGUGCUGUGUUUGCAUUGGUAGUCAUGGUUGAUGCGUUCUUGAGUGUUGCUUUUGUUUUGAGUUGUUUUAUUUUUAUUUUUUGCUCUUUUUGUGUGUCUCGGACUUGUUUGUUGCAAUCUCAUUUUAUUAUUUGUUUUUGUAAGCUUUAUAUAUUUUGUGCAUAAUCAAGUGAAGACAGAUACAACAUGAUUAUUAGGGUAUUUUUAUUAUUUAUUUCUCGGUUUGAAUAACAUCCCUAUCUAUUUGGUUUGCUAAGUUUGCUCUUGGAUUUGGUAAUAUUCUUUGAUUUAAUUCUUUUGUUUUUGUUUGUCUUCCUAAACAUUAUUGUUCCUCAUCCAUGUCACCAUUGUUUUUUUAUCGUUAUAUCUAUGUUCAAGGAAAAAACAAAAAAAUGUAUUAAAAUAGGGAUAACUAAUGUUUUGCACUCUAUAAUAUCAAAAGAAUUGGGGGAAGUUAGAUCAUUCAAAGGUACACUGCCGUAUUAUUCCACAAAUAGCUUUUUUUUCUUAGUAGAAUGGUAAAUCGGGUUGUCCAAACAACCAUGGAAAUAUCUAGUCAGAGAAGAGCCAAAAAAAAAAAAGAAAGAAAGAAAGAAACCUGGUUUUCUUUUGCUUUUCUACAAAAGCAUAUUGUGGAGUUUGUCAAAGUCAAAUAUUUUUCAUAUUUAGUUUAUUAUAAACCGUACAACUCUGAAAUUUAAAUGCACUACAUUUUGAAAAUAUAUGUGCCUCUUUUAUCUUGUAUUCCAAAAGCAUUUCAGCUGUUGCCUAAUAUACUCUUUACUCUUUUACUCUUUUACUUGUUUCAGUCAUUUGACUGCGGCCAUGCUGGAGCACCGCCUUUAAUCGAGCAAAUUGACCCCGGGACUUAUUCUUUUGUAAGCCCAGUACUUAUUCUAUCGGUCUCUUUUGCCGAACCGCUAAGUAAAGGGGACAUAAACACACCAGCAUCGGUUGUCAAGCAAUGCUAGGGGGACAAACACAGACACACAAACACACACACAUACAUAUAUAUAUAUAUAUACGACAGGCUUCUUUCAGUUUCCGUCUACCAAAUCCACUCACAAGGCAUUGGUCGGCCCGGGGCUAUAGCAGAAGACACUUGCCCAAGGUGCCACGCAGUGGGACUGAACCCGGAACCAUGUGGUUGGUUAGCAAGCUACUUACCACACAGCCACUCCUGCGCCUAUAUGUUCAAGUUUGACAGUGUUAUAUUUUCCCUGCCACAAUAGUUGGGACUUUCUCUUUUCAAAUUCAUUAGUUUGGUAUGUCUAAUUUCCUUUCCUAUUUUGUACUGUCUUUUAGCUUUUAGCAUAACUCAUGCCUUCUUUCAACCGUAGUUUAUCAACUUCCAGCAUUCGUCUUGUCUCUGAAAUCGUGUCUACUUUUGAACUUUCUUUACAUUACUUAAGCCUUCUUUUUUUUUUUUCUGUCUUCAGGAGAUAUCUCUGGCCUUAUCCUAACAUUCUUCUUUACCAUUUUGGCAGACUUCCAGUAACAUUUCCUGUUCAUUCCUAUCAUUAUUCUUCUUUUGGCUUUGUCAAACUUCUUGUGAUUAAAGUUCCAUUUUUUUAAAAGAACCCACUUCUGCUUUCUCUUAUAUGAUGUCAUUUUCAAACUGGUGCUUAUCUUACUUUGAAGACAAUGCUAAGCUUCUAGCAUGAUCUCACAAGAACAUUUAUAUAUACAUAUACAUACAUACAUACAUGCAUAUAUAUAUAUAUUUAAUAUAUUAUAUAUAUAUAUAUAUUAUAUAUAUAUAUAUUAUAUAUAUAUAUAUAGUGAUUUGACAUCUAUAUCUAGCAUGUUGACCGUCCACUUUUUGAGUGGUCAGUCCUUUAAAUUUUGUAUAUAAAAAUAUUUUUAUCUUCGGAUUUUUUAAUAUGCUGGGCCUCUGGUUUUAAUUGAUUAAUAUCAAUUUCUACCCUUAUUAAUUUUUAUAUAUAUAUAUAUAUAUAUAUAUAUACUAUGUAUAUAUUAUAUAUGUAUAUAUAUAUAUAUAUAUAUAUAUAUAUAUGUAUACAUUAUAUAUAUAUAUAUAUAUAUAUAUAUAUUUGUGUAUAAUAUAUAAUUCCUGUGAAUUAUUUCAUAGAAAGUUGUUUUCUUGUUUUAUUUUUCAAGCAAUUGUUACACUUACCCUUGUGUGAAGAAAGCAAAACUUUUGUUUUAGAAAAUACUGAAUGUAUUAAACUGAUAUCUGUUUGAUUAUAUUCCAUUGUGAAACAAAUACAGAAAUUACUUUUAUUUUAUAUGACUUGAAAAAAUUCUUAUUACUGAAUUUAAAUGUCUGGAACCUUUAUUUGUUAGUAUCAAAGUCUAUUCCAGUCUAUUUCACUUUAUUUUGCCACCUCAUUCCCAGUUCCAUGUAGUUAUCUGUUUUCUUUAUUUAAGAAAUAACUACAUAGGCGCAGGAGCGGCUGUGUGGUAAGUAGCUUGCUUACCAACCACAUGGUUCCGGGUUCAGUCUCACUGCGUGGCAUCUUGGGCAAGUGUCUUCUGCUAUAGCCCUGGGCCGACCAAUGCCUUGUGAGUGGAUUUGGUAGACGGAAACUGAAAGAAGCCUGUAUUAUAUAUGUAUAUAUAUAUAUGUAUGUGUGUGUAUAUGUUUGUGUGUCUGUGUUUGUCCCCCUAGCAUUGCUUGACAACUGAUGCUGGUGUGUUUACAUCCCCGUCACUUAGCGGUUUGGCAAAAGAGACCGAUAGGAUAAGUACUAGGCUUAUAAAAGAAUAAGUCCCAGGGUCGAUUUGCUCGACUAAAGGCGGUGCUCCAGCAUGGCUGCAGUCAACUGACUGAAACAAGUAAAAGAGAGAGAGACAUCUUUCUAGCUUCUGCUAAAUAUACGCUAUAUAUAUAUAUAUAUAUAUAUAUGCUAACAUAUGCAUACAUAUGUAUGACCAGUUUUAUGUCAUAUAUGAUAAGGAACAGAAAUAAAAUACUUAUUGAAUUACAAUAAAAACACGUUAAAAUCUUUGUUUUUAAAUAAAAUAAUAAACUAGUUAGGUGGAUCAUUAUCCCAUCACUGAAAUUCUGUACAUUAAAAUGAAAUGAAAUAAACAGUAAAUACUUAAAGAAACAGAUAAAUAUAGAAAAAAAUGCUGAAACUCUCCAUCAAGGCAAAUAGUUUUACUAAAUUGUAAAAUCAUACAAAAAUAAAUAAAAAAUAUUGUCUUUUUUUUUCCUUGGAAGAAAAGCAAGUUGUUGUCAGCAGGAGAAGGAUGAGAAACAAGUGAAAACGAAGUUUGGAAUCGCUUCAGAAUUUUAUGAUGCUUUUUCUGAAAUGGCAUGAAGUGAGAGGAAUCAAGAUAAACAAAGGGGAAAUUUAAAGAUUGAUAGAUAGAUAGAUAGAUAGAUAGAUAGAUACAUAUAUAUAUAGAGAGAGAGAGAGAAAGAGAGAGAAAGAGAGAGAGAGAGAGAGAGAGAGAGAGAGAGAGAGAGAGAGAGAGAGAGGGAGAGAGAGAGAGAGAGAGAGACUCUAUGUUGCUAACUUUAAUUGUUUCCUUUAUGUCAAACAUUUGGUUGAUGUCAGAAACAUACAUAUACAUACAUACAUACAUACACAUACAUAUGUAGACACAUACAUACACAUACAUAUGUACAUACAUACAUACAUGCAUGCAUGCAAGCAUACAUACAUGCAGGCAUAAAUACAUACAUGCAUGCAUGCAUGCAUACAUACAUACAUACAUACAUACAUACAUACAUACAUACAUAAAUACAUAUACAUACAUAUACACACACACACACACACACACACACAUAUGUAUAUAUAUAUAUAAGCAUACAAACAGAUAUAUAUGUAUAUAUAUAUAUAUAUAUGUGUGUGUGUAUACGUAUAUUUAUAUAUAUAUAUAUACAUAUUUGCACACAUACACAUAUUAUGUAUAUAUAUGUAUGUAUAUUUGUCUCCGCACUGCUAGAGAGAAACAUGAACCAUUUUCUGUGGAGAAAUAAGAAAGGAAGUUAACACUAAAUGUGCUGAAGGGGAAAUUAAAUUCGAGUUGUUAAGAGCAAGGUUUAGGAUGCAUCAGAAAUCUGUCUCUCAGUUAUUGUUUCCAUUGCUGAAGAGAGAUUUCAACUGCUGAGAAACAGGAUACUACUGAGAAGAUUCAGUAGGAUUUUUAUUUUGAGAAAUCAGGAAGUCGUGAUUAAUUGAACAGAGCUGUGAGGUAUUCUCUCCGUAUAGAAUAGCAACUGUCUUGGAAUGACAUAUUAAAAUAAACAAUGAAAUAAUCCACCUGAUCUGAAUGAAUUUACUAAGGAACAAAAUUUUACCUAACUUUAUAAAAGCUAGCUCUGUCUACAGGCGGAAUAAUAUUUAAGACAAGAGCGAAUCUUAGAACAAUGCAAUUUUGCUGGUAUAAUUAUUAAUGCUGUUAUUGUUGUUGAUGAUGUUUUUGCUGUUGUUAUUGUUGUUGUUGUUGUUGUUGUUGUUGUUCUUCUUCUUCUUCUUCUCCUCACCACCACCACCACCAACAUCAUUAUCAUCACCAUCAUCACCAUCAUCACCAUCAUCACCAUCAUCACCAUCAUCACCAUCGUUGUCGUAGUCAGUUGUCAUCCUCAUUGUCUUUCUCCUUGUCAUCAGCAGCAGUGAUGUUGUUGUUGUUAUUAUUAUUAUUAUUAUUAUCAUUAUUAUUAUUAUUAUUAUUAUUGUUAUUAUUAUUAUUAUCAUCAUCAUCAUCAUUAUUAUUAUUAUUAUUAUUAUUAUUAUUAUUAAUUAUUACUAUUCUUAUUAUUUUUGUUAUUAUCAUUACUACUACUACUACUACUACUACUACUACUACUACUACUACUACUACUACUACUAUUAUUAUUAUUAUUAUUAUUAUUAUUAUCAUUAUUAAUAUAAUCAUAAAUAAAUAAUCAAAUAAGCAAAUCAUUAUUAUCAUUAUUAUUACUAUUAUUAUUAUUAUUAUUGAGUGAGAGAGCAGUUCAUGCCAUCAAAGUGACACUGGGGUAAAAUAUACGAAGCCCAAUAUACCCAUCAUGACUACCCGUCUGAUAAAGGUACACCAGGCACUAUUAUUAUCAUUACUAUUAUUGUCAUUAUUAUUAUUAUUGUUGUUGUUCUUGUCGUUAUUACCACCACCAACAUUGUGGCAAUGAACUGGCAGAAUUGAUAGUUUCAGAAAAAAUGUGAUGCCAACAUAUGCUUUAGCACUUCAUGCUGAGUUCAAAUCUCAUGAUGGUGAUGAACUUAUCUUAAUGAAAUAAAGUAGCAGUCAAGCGCCAAAAUUGACUGCUUAAUUUAAUUGACUAAAUGCUUCCCCAAAUAUCAGGCCUUGCACCAAUAUUAGAGUAUAUACAACAUAUAUAUAUAUACAUAUAUAUAUAUGUAUAUACUCUUUACUCUUUAUUUUUACUCUUUUACUUGUUUCAGUCAUUUGAGUGUGGCCAUGCUGGAGCACUGCCUUUAAUUGAGCAACUCGACCCCGAGACUUAUUCUUUUGUAAGCCCAGUACUUAUUCUAUUGGUCUCUUUUGCCGAACCGCUAAGUAAUGGGAACAUAAACACACCAGCAUUGGUUGUCAAGCAAUGCUAGGGGGACAAACACAGACGCACAAACACACACAUGCAUAUAUAUACAUACAUAUAUAUAUAUAUAUAUAUAUAUAUAUAUAUAUAUAUAUAUAUACAUAUAUACGAUGGGCUUCUUUCAGUUUCCGUCUACCAAAUCCACUCACAAGGCAUUGGUCGGCCUGGCGCUAUAGCAGAAGACACUUGCCCAAGAUGCCACGCAGUGGGACUGAACCCGGAACCAUGUGGUUCGUAAGCAAACUACUUACCACACAGCCACUCCUGCGCCUAUGACUUAAUAAAAGUCUAAUAUUUUAAUUUUUAAGGCAGUGAGCUGGCAGAAUUGUUAGCACGCUGGUCAAAAUGCUUUACGGCAUUUCAUCUAUCUAUACAUUCUGAGUUAAAAUACCACUGAGGAUAACUUUAGCUUUCCUCGUUUUGGGGUCGAUAAAAUAAAUACCAAUUUCUUUACUACCCACAUGGGGCCAAACACAGAGAGGACAAACAAGGACAGACAAAUGGAUUAAGUCAAUUACAUCGACCCCUGUGCGUAACUGGUACUUAAUUUAUCGACCCCAAAAGGAUAAAAGGCAAAGUUGACCUUGGCAGUAUUUGAACUCAGGACAUAAUGAUGACAGAUGAAAUACGGCUAUGCAUUUCACCCGGCGUGCUAUCGAUUCUGCCAGCUUACCACCUUCAUUGAUAAAAUAAAUACCAGUUGGACAUUGGUGCGGGCGGGAGGUUAAUAUAAUCAACUUCCUUAAAAUUACUGUCUUUGUGGCAAAAUUUGAAACCAACAUCAUUUUGAGUUUUUCACCAAAUGAGGGAGACAAUUCUAGAUGCACUUUGGUCUUAUUAAGACCUUAGCCAGUGAAAUGUAGAUUUCCUCAUAUUUAAGAAAGUAACGAGGCAAAAUCAUUAUGUAAAUGCACAAUGAGUUUGGAGAAAAACAGAAUUGUUUUGAGAAUUGUAAUGCCUAAUAGGUUAAUUUCUGUUGGCUGUAGCAAUAAAUAGAUGAAAGACAAAAUAUUUCCUUGACCAGAAGGUUAGUCUGUCACAGGUAAGUUAUCCGGCACUUCUGGUAUCUAUUCCCCAAAGCUUGACGAUAUGUCUGAUAAGUAAAAUAAAGUUUUCUGUUAAGUGAUGCAAUAAAAUGAUGCUUACACUGAAUUAGCAGCUCAAACAUAAAAGUGAUGAUGAUGAUGAUGGUGAGGAAGAGGAUGAUGAUGAUGAUGACAGUGAUGAUGUUGAUGAUGAUGGCAUCAACAAUAAUGACACUGCUGUUGACAAUGAGGAUGACGAUGAAGAGGAGGAGGGGAAGGUGGAGCAGGAGGAUUUCAAUGAUCUGGUUAUUCAGUAUUCAUUCAGUUAUCAAUUUCUCAUCUGAUGAAGUCGUUUAUUUACGACACCAAUGCAAACAAAACAUAAAACUAUGUUGAAUAGGGAAAAUAAAAGUUCGCAAUGCUAAACUGAACUCGGAUACUUUUUUUUUUUUUUGUUUCUUUGCAUAACAUAAUGCAAUUCUCUUCAAAUAUGUCAGCAAAAAUAAGAAUCGCAUUUUACAACCAAUUUAUGCGUUAAUAGAGGCAAACUCAGUUUUCAUUAACAUGCACUUAUAUACACACACAUAGGUAUAUAAAUUCAUGUGUGACUAUAUGUGCUUGUGUUUGUGUGUAUGUGUGUGUGUGUGUGUGUGUGUGUGUAUUAUAUAUAUAUAUAUAGAUAGAUAUGCAAAUGCUCAUAUAUGUAUGUGUAUGUGCCUGUGCGUAUGUAUAUAUAGAUGCAGAUAUAAAUGUGUUUAUCCAGAUGAUGUUAUUUACAAGGCUAGUUGACUGUUUACUGUUUUGAAAUCAUCAAAGUACCUUAAUAACACAUGAUAGAGUGAAGAUACUUUACCUUAAAUUAAGGAUCUCUGAGUUUUUUUUUUAUAAUUAUCUACUUAAAUAAAUAAGUAUACCAAUACAUCGUUAUCAUCAUCAUCAUCACCGGCCCACUUAUAAGUACCCCUCAGUCACUGGACAAUGAACUUUGACAGUACCACCUGAUUGGCAUUUGUGCCAGUGGAACGUUAAAAGCACAUCCGAGUUUGACUAUUGCCAGGGCCAUGGAUUGGCUCUCAUGCCGGUGGCACGUGAAAGGUACCAUUCGAGUGUGAUCAUUGCCAGAGUCCCCCCACCAACACAUGUGCUGGUGGCAAGUGAAAAGCAACAUUCAUGCGUGGUCAUUGCCAGUUCCACUGGACUGGCUCCCAUGCAGGUAGCACAUAAAAAACACCCUUUGGGCGUGGUCGUUGCCAUAACCACCUGACUGGCCCUCAUGCUGGUGUCACGUAAAAGCAUCCACUGCACUCUCGGAGUGGUUGGCAUUAGGAAGGGCAUCCAGCUGUAGAAACUUUGCCAGAUCAGACUGAGCCUGGUGCAGCCUCUGGCUCACCAAUUCUCAGUCAAACCAUCCAACACAUGCCAGCAUGGAAAGCAGACGGUAAACGAUGAUGAUGAGGAUCAUCAUCAUCAUCAUCAUCAUUGUCUUGUAUAUGUUCAACAGGUCUUUUCUAGAAGAGUAUCUUUCCACUUGUUAUUAGCUCUGGCCAACUCCUUUAGAAGGUUCAAUAUUAGUGCUCAAUACUUCUUAAUUUGUACUCCUUUGAGUUCUCCUUUCCACAGUUUCAUAUAUAUAAGAACAAUAUGGUGCUAAACCUGCUUUUUAUAUGACUGGAUAUCUCGAAACUUUCAAAAAUAAACAAGCAAAAAAAUUAAAUAUCUAUAUUCCAUGAAUCUUCUUUAUUCCUUAAAUUUCAAGUUCAAGAUAAUAAUUAUGAAGAAAUUAUUAUCACCCCUGUUUUGCAAUAACUGUCCAUUAAGUGGCUCCAUGCACACACACACACACACACAUUAAAAGUAUUCUGCAUAAGUCAAGAAAUAUGAAAAAUAGCAAAAUGCAGUUUUCCUAUUAUAUGUUACACUGAAUUAAUUCCAAAGUAUAAUUUGGACUGUAAUAAUAUACAUUGGAGUUAAUUCCCUGUAAUAUAAAUUUCUUAUUAUUUUUGUGUGUGUGUAUGCCUGUAUAUCUAUCUAUCUAUCUAUCCAUCUAUCUAUCUAUCUAUCUAUCUAUCUAUCUAUCUAUCUAUCUAUCUAUCUAUCUAUCUAUAUAUAUAUAUAUAUAUAUAUAUAUAUAUAUAUAUAUAUGAUAAACGUAAGAUAAAAAAGAAAGAAGACCUCAAUAUUAUGUAAAUAGAGGAAAUUUAUCUAUACAAUAUGUUACAUUAGAAAUAGCCAGAUAACCGAGAGAUGGUGUUGUGGAUUUCACUUUGGCAUCUGAAACUCAAGUUUUAUCUAUCUAUCUAUCUAUCUAUCUAUAUAUAUAUGUAUAUCUAUAUAUAUAUAUAUAUAUAUAUAUAUAUAUA